rnacentral:tRNA from 1 species
UCCCUGGUGGUCCGGUGGUUAAGACUCUGUGCUCCCAAUGCAGGUGGCCAGGGUUUGAUCCCUGGUCAGGGAA